UACGUAGGUGGAAAGCGAUACUCGGAAUCACUAGGCGUAAAGCGCAUGUAGGCGGUUUGGUAAGUCUUUUGUGAAAGCUCCUGGCUCAACUGGGAGAGGUCAAGGGAAACUACCGGACUAGAGUGUGGUAGGGGAUACUGGAAUUCCUGGUGUAGCGGUGAAAUGCGUAGAUAUCAGGAGGAAUACCUAUGGCGAAAGCAGGUAUCUGGGCCAUCACUGACGCUGAGCUGCGAAAGCUAGGGGAGCAAACAGG
rnacentral:rRNA from 1 species